rnacentral:rRNA from 1 species
CCUACGGGGGGCUGCAGUAGGGAAUCUUCGGCAAUGGGCGAAAGCCUGAUCCAGCAAUGCCGCGUGAGUGAUGAAGGCCUUAGGGUUGUAAAGCUCUUUUACCCGGGAUGAUAAUGACAGUACCGGGAGAAUAAGCUCCGGCUAACUCCGUGCCAGCAGCCGCGGUAAUACGGAGGGAGCUAGCGUUGUUCGGAAUUACUGGGCGUAAAGCGCACGUAGGCGGCUUUGUAAGUUAGAGGUGAAAGCCUGGAGCUCAACUCCAGAAUUGCCUUUAAGACUGCAUCGCUUGAAUCCAGGAGAGGUGAGUGGAAUUCCGAGUGUAGAGGUGAAAUUCGUAGAUAUUCGGAAGAACACCAGUGGCGAAGGCGGCUCACUGGACUGGUAUUGACGCUGAGGUGCGAAAGCGUGGGGAGCAAACAGGAUUAGAUACCCCAGUAGUC